rnacentral:SRP_RNA from 1 species
GCCGGGCAUGGUGAUGCAUGCCUGUAAUCUCAGCAGCUCAGGAGCCUGAGGCAGGAGAAUCAGAAGUUCAAUGCCAACCUCAGUAACUUGGUAAGGCUAUAAGCAACUUAAUAAGCCCCUGCCUCAA